UACAAUCACUAUGAUAGCCUCUACUCUCAAGGAGACUAUAUCCUUUUUUUUUAAACUCUCUCCUUCUUUCUUAGGAUUGAUACUCAGUUCGAGUUCCGAGGCAGAAGAGCAGUAAGAGCUAGGCAAUAGAGUUAAGUGACUUGCCCAAAGUCACACAACGGGGAAGUGUCUAAGGCCAAAUUUGAACCCAGGAUAUCUUGUCUCCAGACCUGGAUCUCUACCCACAGGACCAUUUACCCGCUCCAGCUCAGAUCAUUGGUCUGUGCAGGUUAAAUCAAUCUGGUCAGCAUCUUCCACUGCCAUUAAUGAACUCAGAGCUGGAAAGAACUUCAAGGUCAUCUAGUCCCACCCUUCCCAUUUUCCAUAUAAGGAACUGAGGCUCAGAGAGAUUGAGGAACUUUCUCAAGGUUGGGAAGAUUUCACAAGUUUCAAAGGUCCCUUCACUUUAUUCAGGAACACUUUUGUGAUCCUGAACCUGCAGAAUAAGACUAUUUCUUGCACUUUGUUGUUGAGAUGCUGGUGCCUUUACACAGUAUGCUUCAAUUAACAAUAAGGAAGCUGGAAAAAGAUGAAGGUAUAAGGAAGGAAGACAAAAGCAAGGAUUCCAGUACAACAGAAUGGGAAAAGAUGCAAUCUGAGUUGCAUAUGGUGCCAUGGAUAGAGAACUGGCCUCAGAAUCAUGGAAACCUAUGUUCAAGUCCAGCCUUUGACACCUGAGCAAAUUAUUUGAUCUCUCAGUAUCCAAGAGAACUCUCUAAGUUGCAGAAAAGGGGGCCCAAUCUGCACUGUGAAAGAAAGUUUCCUCUAUCAAUAAAAUCAGAUGUUCAGCCUUAGUUCA
rnacentral:lncRNA from 1 species